UUUUCAGUGCAGUCACAUCCCCAGGUUGUGUUCUCCUGCAGCCCAUGGAUGCUGUGGCACAGAUAACCUGAUUCAUCUGCUAUUUGCAAGGACUUGCUCUGGUGAAGAAGCUUUUCCCCCAAAUAUGUGCAAUUUCCCACUCCACUUCCUUUGGAAGAAAGGAGGGGGAGAAAAAAAUUAGACCUCUUCAAAUAAGGAAAGGCCCCAUGUUUGGAAAUGGUCAGCUCCCAGCCAUGAUUUUA
rnacentral:lncRNA from 1 species